rnacentral:rRNA from 1 species
CAACGCGAAGAACCUUACCAAGUCUUGACAUCCCGCUGACCGCUCUAGAGAUGGAGUUUCCCUUCGGGGCAGCGGUGACAGGUGGUGCAUGGUUGUCGUCAGCUCGUGUCGUGAGAUGUUGGGUUAAGUCCCGCAACGAGCGCAACCCCUAUGUUUAGUUGCCAUCAUUGAGUUGGGCACUCUAGACAGACUGCCGCAGAUAAUGCGGAGGAAGGUGGGGAUGACGUCAAAUCAUCAUGCCCCUUAUGACUUGGGCUACACACGUGCUACAAUGGCAAGUACAACGAGCAGCAAGCGCGCGAGCGCAAGCAAAUCUCUUAAAACUUGUCUCAGUUCGGAUUGCAGGCUGCAACUCGCCUGCAUGAAGUCGGAAUCGCUAGUAAUCGCGGAUCAGCACGCCGCGGUGAAUACGUUCCCGGGUC